GACGAACGCUGGCGGCGUGCCUAAUACAUGCAAGUAGAACGCACAGUUUAUACCGUAGCUUGCUACACCAUAGACUGUGAGUUGCGAACGGGUGAGUAACGCGUAGGUAACCUGCCUGGUAGCGGGGGAUAACUAUUGGAAACGAUAGCUAAUACCGCAUAAUAUUAAUUAUUGCAUGAUAAUUGAUUGAAAGAUGCAACUGCAUCACUACCAGAUGGACCUUCGUUGUAUUAGCUAGUAGGUGAGGUAACGGCGCACCUAGGCGACGAUACAUAGCCGACCUGAGAGGGUGAUCGGCCACACUGGGACUGAGACACGGCCCAGACUCCUACGGGAGGCAGCAGUAGGGAAUCUUCGGCAAUGGACGAAAGCCUGACCGAGCAACGCCGCGUGAGUGAAGAAGGUUUUCGGAUCGGAAAGCUCGGUUGUAAGAGAAGAACGGGUGUGAGAGUGGAAAGUUCACACUGUGACGGUAUCUGAACAGAAAGGGACGGCUAACUACGUG
rnacentral:rRNA from 1 species